UUUCUUAAAAAUGUUUCUAAUUCACUUUGCUCCGCUCCUAGAAAGGGGGCAUCGGGCGAUAAACUGCCUGAGAGCAGAGGUUCCUUUAAUCCCUGCUAGAAUGUUCAAGUCCAGGCCAGAGCGAUGCACAUAAUAAGAGCUGAGGCAUGGGGCCAUAAGGACUGACAUGUGGACCUAAUAACCAGAGAUCCUGAAUUGUCCCUGCCUGAAGCAACUGGAAUGAAAUUCCUUUUUUACACUAAGGUUUUAGUUGGCACAUUCCCCAGUUUCCCUUGCAGGCAGAAGAACCAUAUAAUUAAAUUCUAGCCAAUGGAAUGUGAGGAAGAGUCAUGUAUGCUCUGCCUGGUCUUACCCUUAGAAUAAAGUGAAUACCUUCCUGUU